UAUUUAUUUUAUUAUAUUUAUUUUUUGUUUAUUUAAUUAUUUAAUAAAAAUAAUUUUGUCGAAUUUUGUCUUAGUAUAUUUUGUAGAAUUGAUUUUUUAUAUUAUAGUUUAUUGGUAAUGUAAUUGUUUUAUGAAAUAUUAUUUUAAAUUUUUAAAAGUAGAUUUUAUUUAUUGUACCUUUUGUAUCAGGGUUUAUCAAAAUUUUAGUAUUUACUUUACUUGUCUCGAUUUGGGUUGAUUUAUAAAUAAUUUAUAGUUAAUGUAUCAUAAUUCUUAUUAAAUUAUUUAUAGAAAUGAGAUGUUAACCGUUUCCCAAGAUAUCUAGUUUCUUAAGAAAAAAUUUAAUUUUUUAAAGUUAAUUGUUUUUAUUUAAUUUUUUAAGUAUAAAUAUUAACUUAUUUAUUCUUUAAGGGAUAAGCUUUGAAGUUAAUAACCUAUAAUUUGUUUUAAUAAAAUAUAAUAGUAAGCUUUAAACCAGCUAUCUUUAAGAUUACGUUUUAGUUCAUUAUUUUUAUUUUUGAUUUUAUAACUAUUUUAGGUUUUUUAUUAAAAUUAUAAAUUUAAUUUUUAAAUUUUUGUAAUAAUGAUAGAAUUAGUAUAUUUAUUUGUAUAUAAUUUUUACCUUGGUAAUUUAUUAUAAGGAACUAGGC
rnacentral:rRNA from 1 species